UCUCUCUGAAUCUGCGAACGGCUCCGCAAACCAGUUGUAAACCAAAGCAAGCUAGCCCACGGACUGGCCCUCACGGGUAGGUCUGUGGGUGAUAUGGAUAACCCUGGUAAUUCUGAGGCUAAUACAAGAACGUACACCCUGACUGACCGAACGGAAGGUUGGGGAGCGUGUGAUGCUUUGGCAAGAAACCAGGAGGGGGCACACGCUCUGACCGCGACAAUAACAGCCCGGGCAAACCUUCGGGUGCGUCAGGCCUGAGCGGCUCUUGCUACGUGCUUCUGACCUAUCAACUAGAUGGCAGCCUAACGGACAUGCCAUGGUUACAACGGGUACAGAGGAUUAGGGUUCGAUCCUGGAGAGUGGGCCUGAGAGAUU
rnacentral:rRNA from 1 species